GGUAGCGAAGGGCUGGAGGCAAACACCGAGCUCCCCCUGAGCCGCCCGGGAGCAGGGAGGGCUCCGCUACCCCGGGGGGCCCUCCCCGCGGGGCAGAUGAGCUCAGUAUCCAGACUUUCUGAGCUGUGUUAUGGGUCACUCAAGCAGUCCACCUUCCUGACUUUCCAUAAUCUACUGGAUUCGUAAUCCACACCAUACUUGAGAACAUGGGGAUCGGCAUAAGCCAGGUCCAUGGCAAAAAGUUGGUUGGUUUCUCAUUCUGGAAGAUGAGGCAUAUGUUAAUUUAGGAAAAGGGAAAUGGAACAGAGCUGAGGAUUAAAUGCUCUUUUAUGGAUAAGGAUGGGCACCUGCCUCUGAGAUGUAAUCCCAGGCAGUAAGAUUGAGAGGAAAAGGAAAGAGAGAUGGAGAAGGAUGGGACACAAUGCAAGAUGAUGUUUGAAUAAUCUGCAGAGACAGUAGGUACGCCUGCAUAUCCAUGCAGGAUAUCUCCGGACAUGCACCAUGGCGAAAACAUGCUCAGAAAAAUGCCAGCUAAUAAAUGUUGAAGAAAUGAAGCUUAAGAAAAAGAGUAUUAUGCAAUCCUCAACAUAAUAAGUGAUUCAAUCACUGACUAUCAAGGGAUGAUAAAACCUACGGGUGAAGGGUUGAUGGGUGUCAUGGUAUCAUGGGUUGAAUUACAUUUCCCAAAAAGAGGUAUGUUGAAAUUCUAUCCCCCGGACCCCUGGAAUGUGAUCUUAUUUGGAAACAGGUUCAUUGUAGAUGUAAUUAGUUAAGAUGAAGUCAUGAUGGAGUGGGAUGGGAUCCUAAUCCAAUAGGACUGGUAUCCUUAUAAGAACAGUCAUGUGAAGACACAGAGACACAUGGAGAAUGCCACGUGAAGAUGGAGGACAAACUGAAAAGUACUGCAGCUACAAGCCAAGUAAUGUCUGGGGCUACCAGAAGCUGGAAGAGGCUAGGAGGGAUUUUCCCUUAAGGUUUCAGAGGGAGCCGACCAACAUGUUGUUUUCACACUUCUAGUCUCCCAAACUGUGAGACACACAUUUUUGUUUUAAGCCAGCCCAUUUGUGGGUACUUUGUUAUAGUGACUCUAGGAAACUAAUCCAAUGGCAAACAGAAUAGACACCCUGCAAAUAUGAAAGAUAGAGUUUUCCAAAGGAGAGCUCUGUCAGUUACCACUUAAGCAGGUAUCAAACUUGAACAUCACUAACAGUGGGACAGCCUGACCUACACACCUCCUGAUAUCAUGCAACAAGAGGUACACAAUAUCAAUUUGAUAGACUGAUAGCAAUGGGCACAUCCCUUGCAACGUGACUUUGCAGCAACUCUCAUUAAGAGGUAGAGUUUAUUUCUCUACCACUUGAGUCUGGGCUUGCUUUGUUACCUUCUUUCACCACCAUAAUGCAGUUGAAGUGAGGAGUGCCAGUUCUAAGCUUAGGCCUCAAAAGACCUUGCAUGCUUUCACUCUCUUUCAGACCCCUGCCUCUUCCAUGAGAACAGGCCAGUGCUAGGCUGCAAAGUGUGACAGAUGAAUGGGGCUGGACCUAGUCAUCCCAACUAAAGUUUUCUAUCAACUGCAUGCAAAUUCAUGAAUGAGUCUAACCAAAGUCAGCUGAGCCUAGCCCAGCCCAGAUCAGCAGAACUUAGCUAGUCAAUGGUUAUUAAUAUUAAGCCACUGAGUUUUGGGGUAGACUGCUCUGCGGUAAUAACUGUUACAAUGAUGAUCCAUGCAAUAUCCUUGCCAAAUGUGUUUAAAUGGAAACUAAUCAUGAGGAAAGAGUCAGAAAAUUCUAGAGUGUGGAACAUUCUACAUUACAACUGACCUAGAUACCAUAAGUCAGAAUCAUGAAAAACAACAAAAAGUGAGGAGCCUGUUCUAGAUAGACUAGAGCAAGGGUUUCCAAUCUCAGCACCAACUGACAUUUAUUUCCAAUCUCAGCACUGACAUUUUGGACCAGAUAAUUCUCUGUUGCAGGGGUUGCCUUGUGUAUUUUAGGAUGUUUAGCAGCAUCCCUGGCCUCUAUCUACCUGAUGCCAGUCGUGACAAUCAAGAGUAUCUCCAGGAGUUCCCGUCGUGGUGCAGUGGUUAACGAAUCCGACUAGGAACCAUGAGGUUGCGGGUUCGGUCCCUGCCCUUGCUCAGUGGGUUAAUGAUCUGGCGUUGCCGUGAGCUGUGGUGUAGGUUGCAGACGCGGCUCGGAUCCCACGUUGCUGUGGCUCUGGCGUAGGCCGGUGGCUACAGCUCCGAUUGGACCCCUAGCCUGGGAACCUCCAUAUGCCGCAGGAGCGGCCCAAGAAAUAGCAAAAAGACAAAAAAAAAAAAAAAAAAAAAAAAA
rnacentral:lncRNA from 1 species